UUUUUAUACCCGAAGUUGUUUUAGCUAACCGUAAGGGGGCGAGCAGUGACGGUAUGGAAGAUGAUUGGGGUGAAGUCGUAACAAGGUAGCUGUAGGUGAACCUGCAGAAGGAUCA
rnacentral:rRNA from 1 species